CCUACGGGUGGCAGCAGUGAGGAAUAUUGGUCAAUGGACGAGAGUCUGAACCAGCCAAGUAGCGUGAAGGAUGACUGCCCUAUGGGUUGUAAACUUCUUUUAUAUGGGAAUAAAAUGUUCCACGUGUGGGAUUUUGUAUGUACCAUAUGAAUAAGUAUCGGCUAACGCCGUGCCAGCAGCCGCGGUAAUACGGAGGAUCCGAGCGUUAUCCGGAUUUAUUGGGUUUAAAGGGAGCGUAGGUGGAUUGUUAAGUCAGUUGUGAAAGUUUGCGGCUCAACCGUAAAAUUGCAGUGGAAACUGGCAGUCUUGAGUACAGGAGAGGUGGGCGGAAUUCGUGGUGUAGCGGUGAAAUGCUUAGAUAUCACGAAGAACUCCGAGUGCGAAGGCAGUUCACUGGACUGCAACUGACACUGAGGCUCGAAAGUGUGGGUAUCAAACAGGAUUAGAUACCCCUGUAGUC
rnacentral:rRNA from 1 species